rnacentral:rRNA from 1 species
GACGAACGCUGGCGGCGUGCUUAACACAUGCAAGUCGAACGGAAAGGCCCUGCUUUUGUGGGGUGCUCGAGUGGCGAACGGGUGAGUAACACGUGAGUAACCUGCCCUUGACUUUGGGAUAACUUCAGGAAACUGGGGCUAAUACCGGAUAGGAGCUCCUGCUGCAGGGGGGGGGUUGGAAAGUUUCGGCGGUUGGGGAUGGACUCGCGGCUUAUCAGCUUGUUGGUGGGGUAGUGGCUUACCAAGGCUUUGACGGGUAGCCGGCCUGAGAGGGUGACCGGCCACAUUGGGACUGAGAUACGGCCCAGACUCCUACGGGAGGCAGCAGUGGGGAAUAUUGCACAAUGGGCGGAAGCCUGAUGCAGCAACGCCGCGUGCGGGAUGACGGCCUUCGGGUUGUAAACCGCUUUCGCCUGUGACGAAGCGUGAGUGACGGUAAUGGGUAAAGAAGCACCGGCUAACUACGUG